rnacentral:rRNA from 1 species
UGGGGAAUAUUGGGCAAUGGGCGAAAGCCUGACCCAGCAACGCCGCGUGAGUGAUGAAGGCCUUCGGGUUGUAAAACUCUUUGGACAGGGACGAAGAAAGUGACGGUACCUGUAGAACAAGCCCCGGCUAAUUACGUGCCAGCAGCCGCGGUAAUACGUAAGGGGCGAGCGUUGUCCGGAAUUAUUGGGCGUAAAGAGUGCGUAGGCGGCAAAUUAAGUCAGAUGUGAAAACUAAGGGCUCAACCCAUAGAUUGCAUCUGAAACUGAUAUGCUUGAGUCAAGGAGAGGAAAGUGGAAUUCCUAGUGUAGCGGUGGAAUGCGUAGAUAUUAGGAAGAAUACCGGUGGCGAAGGCGACUUGCUGGACUGGAACUGACACUGAGGCACGAAAGCGUGGGUAGCAAACAGG